AUACCUUCGGUUUGACGAUUUAUUGUCUCGCCGGCGUUGGCGGUUUAAGGGGUUAACCUCCUUAUUCCGUUUAAACACUGACAGCGGGGUAAGUUUAGUAACACCUAUCGAUUAGUAGAAAUAUUCAUCGUUGGAAAUCUAAACUCCCGCAAUACAAAAUAGGGGAAACCCACCAA
rnacentral:misc_RNA from 1 species